CCUACGGGAGGCAGCAGUGAGGAAUAUUGGUCAAUGGCCGGAAGGCUGAACCAGCCAUGCCGCGUGAAGGUCAGUGCCCUAUGGGCGUUAAACUUCUUUUGUGCGGGAGCAAUAAUGGUCACGUGUGGCCAGACGAGAGUACCGUACGAAUAAGCAUCGGCUAACUCCGUGCCAGCAGCCGCGGUAAUACGGGGGAUGCAAGCGUUAUCCGGAUUUACUGGGUGGAAAGGGAGCGUAGACGGCGUGCCAAGUCUGAGGUGAAAGGCCGGGGCUCAACCCUGGAACUGCGUUUGAAACUGUUCUUCUUGAGUGAUGGAGAGGCAGGCGGAAUUCCGUGUGUAGCGGUGAAAUGCGUAGAUAUACGGAGGAACACCAGUGGCGAAGGCGGCCUGCUGGACAUUAACUGACGCUGAGGCGCGAAAGCGUGGGGAGCAAACAGGAUUAGAUACCCGAGUAGUC
rnacentral:rRNA from 1 species